CAGCAGCCACGGUAAUACGUAGGGUGCAAGCGUUAAUCGGAAUUACUGGGCGUAAAGCGUGCGCAGGCGGUUAUAUAAGUCAGAUGUGAAAUCCCCGGGCUCAACCUGGGAACUGCAUUUGAGACUGUAUGGCUAGAGUGCGUCAGAGGGGGAUGGAAUUCCGCGUGUAGCAGUGAAAUGCGUAGAUAUGCGGAGGAACACCGAUGGCGAAGGCAAUCCCCUGGGCCUGCACUGACGCUCAUGCACGAAAGCUAGGGGAGCAAACAGGAUUAGAUACCCGGGUAGUCCCUGUCUCUUAUAC
rnacentral:rRNA from 1 species